rnacentral:rRNA from 1 species
AACGAACGCUGGCGGCAUGCCUAACACAUGCAAGUCGAACGAGAUCUUCGGGUCUAGUGGCGCACGGGUGCGUAACGCGUGGGAAUCUGCCCUUUGGUUCGGAAUAACAGUUGGAAACGACUGCUAAUACCGGAUGGUGACGAAAGUCCAAAGAUUUAUCGCCAGAGGAUGAGCCCGCGUAGGAUUAGCUAGUUGGUGUGGUAAAGGCGCACCAAGGCGACGAUCCUUAGCUGGUCUGAGAGGAUGAUCAGCCACACUGGGACUGAGACACGGCCGUGACUCCUACGGGCGGCAGCAGGGGGGAAUAUUGGACAAUGGGCGAAAGCCUGAUCAAGCAAUGCCGCGGGAGUGAUGAAGGCCUUAGGGUUGUAAAGCUCUUUUACCCGGGAUGAUAAUGACAGUACCGGGAGAAUAAGCUCCGGCUAACUCCGUGCCAGCCGCCGCAGUAA